UUGAACUUUUUGAACUAUUCUGACUGUUUUUUUUUUUUGAGGUACAGUUCCAUGGGUGCCAAGUGAGGAGCUGGUAUCGUGGGUCUAAGACACUGUUGCUGCUGUGGAGGCCUUCUCUGUGUCAGGACGCCGACACGUUGAUGCCUGCCGUACCAGGAGGGCGGUUGCUGGUUGUGGAAUUUGGAGCUGCGGAGAUUUGAGCUGUGCUCCAAAAGUGCAUGUUGAAGGUUAUCACCACAGUUCCACUGCUGUCCACAUUCAUGAGCAGUCUUGACCAGUACUCUGACCAGUUGAUGAAGAUUCUACGAAAAAAAGGAGGGGAAACAGCGCGGCGGAUGACAGCAGCGUUGUCUGCAAUUUCACAGGUAUUCUGUCUUGUUAUGUUCUGUAACUAAUAGAUUAGUUGCAGGUUGAUCUCAGGUCUGGUUAUUAACCUGUAUUUUUAACUUUCUUGGGUCAUUUUAUGCUUGUUCUCUCCUGCGUUAUACUUCUCAUCUCGCUUUUGGCUUAUAUUCUGGACUUGGUCCUGACACAAAGCAGAACUAAGUAACUCAUGCCCCUAGAGGCCAUAGGUGCCGUUGCUGGCAUUGUAGCUUUUUUCUUUUCUUUUCUUUUUUUUGUUACUCAUUAAUUGUCCAAAGGAAUAAUUAGCUACACUGAGAAAAGACAAAGGCAGACAACAUUUCACAUUUCGCCACAACUCAGUGACACAGUAGAUUAUUUUUUUUUCACUCAAACUUGGUAUAAAUACUGCAAAUGUGGUGGUAGCCCGCAUACCUCAUAUUAACGUGACAGUGUGUAGUUUUUUGUCAUUAAUUUUUGGAAAUCUCUAUCAAAAUGUUUUUGAUUCCUUUGAACAGUACUCCUAUGCAACAACACUUAUCUUCCUUCUUUCGGGUGGUACACCACGCUAAAGCUGCAUUUUCCACGACCCAAUGUAUCGCAAUCAGUGUAAUUGGACUCAUAACUUAUAAUCUUUAUGGGAAUGAAUUGGUAAG
ensembl:lncRNA